UACGGAGGGGGCUAGCGUUGUUCGGAAUUACUGGGCGUAAAGCGCGCGUAGGCGGCUUUGCAAGUCGGGUGUGAAAUCCCCAGGCUUAACCUGGGAACUGCAUUCGAGACUGCAUUGCUAGAGUAUGGGAGAGGGAAGUGGAAUUUCCGGUGUAGCGGUGAAAUGCGUAGAUAUCGGAAGGAACAUCAGUGGCGAAAGCGACUUCCUGGACCAAUACUGACGCUCAUGUGCGAAAGCGUGGGGAGCAAACAGG
rnacentral:rRNA from 1 species